rnacentral:misc_RNA from 1 species
UCUCCGUAGGUGAACCUGCGGAAGGAUCAUUCAUAAUAAGUGUAUCACGGCACUCUUUUAAAUCCUUUAUAACUUUUUGUGCAACGUCAGGGCUGAUUUUUCUUUCGAGAGGACCUGCCCAAAACAUCAAUUAUAUCCCAACUCCUUGUCCGAAUAAUAUUAUGAAUAUAAUAAUACAAUCUACAACUUUUAUCAACGGAUCUCCUGGCACUCGCAUCGAAGCAGAACGCAGCAGAUCGGAAGAGAACACGCCUGAACUACAGCCACCCCUUGUCACCC